rnacentral:rRNA from 1 species
CGAGGGUGCAAGCGUUGUUCGGAAUUACUGGGCGUAAGGGCGUGCAGGCGGGUUGGUAAGUCAGAUGUGAAAGCCCUGGGCUCAACCCAGGAAGUGCAUUUGAAACUGCCAUCCUUGAGUAUGGGAGAGGAGAGUGGAAUUCCCAAUGUAGAGGUGAAAUUCGUAGAUAUUGGGAGGAACACCCGUGGCGAAGGCGACUCUCUGGACCAAUACUGACGCUGAGACGCGAAAGCGUGGGGAGCAAACAGGAUUAGAUACCCGAGUAGUCC